rnacentral:rRNA from 1 species
UGGGGAAUAUUGCACAAUGGGCGAAAGCCUGAUGCAGCGACGCCGCGUGAGGGAUGACGGCCUUCGGGUUGUAAACCUCUUUCAGUAGGGAAGAAGCGUAAGUGACGGUACCUGCAGAAGAAGCGCCGGCUAACUACGUGCCAGCAGCCGCGGUAAUACGUAGGGCGCAAGCGUUAUCCGGAAUUAUUGGGCGUAAAGAGCUCGUAGGCGGUUUGUCGCGUCUGCCGUGAAAGUCCGGGGCUCAACUCCGGAUCUGCGGUGGGUACGGGCAGACUAGAGUGAUGUAGGGGAGACUGGAAUUCCUGGUGUAGCGGUGAAAUGCGCAGAUAUCAGGAGGAACACCGAUGGCGAAGGCAGGUCUCUGGGCAUUAACUGACGCUGAGGAGCGAAAGCAUGGGGAGCGAACAGG